AUUUAAAGGCAUAAUUCACUGUGUCAAACUGUAGAAAAAAAACUUCGUCCACUAAUCGGAGGGUCGCUGGUUCUAAUCCCUGGCUGCAUGUCUAAGUAUCCCUGAGGUGACAGCCUCUGCCAUCAGUGUUUUCCACCUGCCAAGAGAUACAGAAGUAUCCACUGUUGUACCACCAGUCUACAGAGUAGCUUCUUCACUCAGACUGAGACUCCUGAGCUUCCACACUGUGUUUGAUAGCACUAACACACACAUUCAUUAAAAUGAAUGCCCUGAUGCAAGGUGUUCCUGGAAAUAAAUGUAUAUACCCUCA